rnacentral:piRNA from 1 species
UGAGGUCCGAUGACAGAACAUUUGAGUCUA